rnacentral:rRNA from 1 species
UACAGAGGGGGCAAGCGUUAUUCGGAAUUAUUGGGCGUAAAGGGCGCGUAGGCGGCCUGGCAAGUGGAAGGUGAAAUCCCUCGGCUUAACCGAGGAACUGCCCUCCAAACUGCUUGGCUUGAGUCCGGGAGAGGUGAGUGGAAUUCCCAGUGUAGCGGUGAAAUGCGUAGAUAUUGGGAGGAACACCAAUGGCGAAGGCAGCUCGCUGGGACGGUACUGACGCUGAGGAGCGAAAGCGUGGGGAGCGAACAGG